rnacentral:rRNA from 1 species
CCUACGGGAGGCAGCAGUAGGGAAUAUUGCUCAAUGGGGGAAACCCUGAAGCAGCAACGCCGCGUGGAGGAUGAAGGUUUUCGGAUUGUAAACUCCUUUUGUUAGAGAAGAUAAUGACGGUAUCUAACGAAUCAGCACCGGCUAACUCCGUGCCAGCAGCCGCGGUCAUACGGAGGGUGCAAGCGUUACUCGGAAUCACUGGGCGUAAAGAGCGCGUAGGCGGGAUAGCAAGUCAGAUGUGAAAUCCUAUGGCUUAACCAUAGAACUGCAUUUGAAACUGUUAUUCUAGAGUAUGGGAGAGGUAGGUGGAAUUCUUGGUGUAGGGGUAAAAUCCGUAGAGAUCAAGAGGAAUACUCAUUGCGAAGGCGACCUGCUAGAACAUAACUGACGCUGCUGCGCGAAAGCGUGGGGAGCAAACAGGAUUAGAUACCCUGGUAGUC